rnacentral:rRNA from 1 species
AUUUGAAAUCUGGCCGCAAGGUCCGAGUUGUAAUUUGUAGAGGAUGCUUUUGGCGAGGUGACUUCCGAGUUCCCUGGAACGGGACGCCAUAGAGGGUGAGAGCCCCGUACGGUCGUGCCACCGAGCCUCUGUAAAGCUCCUUCGACGAGUCGAGUAGUUUGGGAAUGCUGCUCUAAAUGGGAGGUGUACGUCUUCUAAAGCUAAAUACCGGCCAGAGACCGAUAGCGCACAAGUAGAGUGAUCGAAAGAUGAAAAGCACUUUGAAAAGAGGGUUAAAAAGUACGUGAAAUUGUUGAAAGGGAAGCAUUCAUGACCAGACUUGGGCUUGGUUGAACAUCCGGCGUUCUCGCCGGUGCACUCUGCCAGCUCAGGCCAGCAUCAGUUUGCCCCGGGGGACAAAGGCGGCGGGAAUGUGGCUCCCUACGGGGAGUGUUAUAGCCCGUCGUGUAAUGCCCUGGGGUGGACUGAGGUUCGCGCUUCGGCACGGAUGCUGGCGUAAUGGUCAUCAAUGACCCGUCU